rnacentral:rRNA from 1 species
AUACGGAGGGUGCAAGCGUUACUCGGAAUCACUGGGCGUAAAGCGCGCGCAGGCGGUCUUUUAAGUUGGAUGUGAAAGCCUACGGCUCAACCGUAGAACUGCAUCCAAAACUAUUAGACUAGAGUGUGGGAGAGGAAGAUGGAAUUAGUUGUGUAGGGGUAAAAUCCGUAGAGAUAACUAGGAAUACCAAAAGCGAAGGCAAUCUUCUGGAACACUACUGACGCUCAGGCGCGAAAGCGUGGGGAGCAAACAGGAUUAGAAACCCUAGUAGUCC